UGAUCACCAGAUAUAUUAAUGUUCAUUAGUAAUUAUUCACUUAAAUUAAACUGUUAUUUCUGACUAUUUUAUUCCUUUCUGUGUGUGAACAACAGUUAGCAGGGGCGACUGUUAAAUGUUUAGUGGUUGUGUUAACAACAGUCAGCAGGGGAGACUGUUAGAUGUUUAGUAUUGAAGGGCUCUAUUUACAACAUUCUGCUAUUACUCAUAAUGGUUUCGCAGAGGCGACUGCUUUCGAUCAGCCUACACUACAGUUAACAGGGGUUACUGCGGUGUAUUUUGGCUCGCUAUAAAACAUUAUAAUAAUUAAAUGCUCUUUGCUAGUGGUGUUGCGUUUUCCUCGGGUGGGGAGACUCCGCGAUUUACGUUCGACUGACUUCAAUGGCGUAGUCUUUGCCGUGUAGUCCUGCAACCUUUACUGGCAAUGAACAUUAACAGACUCAAGUUAUUAACUGAAAUUAUCAAUUUUAAUGAUUUUAUGAUAUUUCUAAUUAAAUGACAAGAUUUUAAAUAAAGCGGCUGUGAAUCAAUUUCACAGCCAAAUUAUCCCAAGUCGGGUGUUUUGUUUUGCCAGUAAACUGAGCUCGUUAAACGCAACACCUCGUGAAAAGCAGGAAGGCAAAGAC
rnacentral:lncRNA from 1 species